GACGAACGCUGGCGGCGUGCCUAACACAUGCAAGUCGAACGGGGCUAGAUUGGUAGCAAUACCGGUAUAGCCUAGUGGCGGACGGGUGAGUAACGCGUGAGCAACCUGCCUUUCAGAGGGGGACAACAGCUGGAAACGGCUGCUAAUACCGCAUAACGUAUAAUGGCCGCAUGGACAUUAUACCAAAGAUUUUAUCGCUGAAAGAUGGGCUCGCGUCUGAUUAGCUAGUUGGUGGGGUAACGGCUCACCAAGGCUGCGAUCAGUAGCCGGACUGAGAGGUUGAACGGCCACAUUGGGACUGAGAUACGGCCCAGACUCCUACGGGAGGCAGCAGUGGGGAAUAUUGGUCAAUGGGGGGAACCCUGAACCAGCAACGCCGCGUGAAGGAAGAAGGCUUUCGGGUUGUUAAACGUUACUUUGUACAGGGAGAACGAAAGAAGUACGACCGUACCGUAACGAAACGAACGACCGACGUACCUAACGUACGUACGACGACGACCGACGGCCGGUAACGGUAAGGUACGUACGUACCGGUACCGCGUUGGAACG
rnacentral:rRNA from 1 species